rnacentral:rRNA from 1 species
AUGCUUGUGAAGAAGUUCCAGAGAUUCACCAGGAAGAAAAACUUCAGAAAGUCUUCACUAUCCAGCUCAAGGGAUGAUGAAGCUUCCACCCAUGACAACAAGAAAAGAACCUGUCACAAGUGCAAGAAACCUGGUCACUACAUCUCUGAAUGUCCACAGUGGGACAAUGAGAAGAAGAAAAAGAAGAACAAAGAAUAUGAUUCUGAUGACAAGAAGAAGAAGAAAUCCUCAAAGUCUUCUUCCAAAUCCUUCUCUAAGUCUUCAUCACACAAGAAGAUCUCAUCAGGCAAGGCACGUGCUUUUGUUGGCAAUGAAAUGGAUUCAGAGGAGGAGUCUGCUUCUGAGGAGGAAGUGGUGGAGUCUGAGGAGGAGUCUGACUCUGGUAUUGCAAGUCUGGCUCUAGCUACAACCUACGUCGCCAAGUCCAUCUUCAACACUAAAGACAAUGACUCCAUCACCAACACUAAUGACGAGAACGACUCGACUCCCACCUACUGCUUCAUGGCAUGUGGUGCCAAGGUAAACUCUCACGAUGCUUACUUUCAAACAUCAAGUGAAGAUGACUCUGAUGGUGAAUCCAAACCCAGCUACAAAAAACUUGCUAAAAUUGCAACUGAACAACAGAAAGCUAUGGAACAUAUUCAAAAACUGUUAGACAAAAGCGAUGACCUGUUGGACGCAAAAAUGACUAAGACUCAGUCCUUAAUUGAAGACAUAAAAAAUCUUCAUGUUAAGUACCAGGAACUUGAAGGUCGUCAUGAAACCCUCUCAACAUCUCAUGAAAAGCUUUCCUACGAUUAUCUUCAAAGGAAGCAGGAACUUGAGAAAUUGAGAUUGGAUCAUGAAGAUCUUCAAAAGGAGAACGAGUCACUUCGCGCUCAAUAG